rnacentral:rRNA from 1 species
UACGGGGGGGGCAAGCGUUGUUCGGAAUUACUGGGCGUAAAGGGCUCGUAGGUGGCCAACUAAGUCAGACGUGAAAUCCCUCGGCUUAACCGGGGAACUGCGUCUGAUACUGGAUGGCUUGAGUUUGGGAGAGGUACGCGGAAUUCCAGGUGUAGCGGUGAAAUGCGUAGAUAUCUGGGGGAACACCGGUGGCGAAGGCGGCGUUCUGGACUGCAACUGACGCUGAGGCGCGAAAGCCAGGGGAGCAAACGGG